AACGUAGGAGGCGAGCGUUAUCCGGAUUCACUGGGCGUAAAGCGCAGGUAGGUGGUUCGUUAAGUUGGUUGUGAAAGCCCCUGGCUCAACUGGGGGAGGUCAGCCAAAACUGGCGGACUGGAGGUUCCGAGAGGAGAGUGGAAUUCCCGGUGUAGCGGUGGAAUGCGUAGAGAUCGGGAGGAACACCAGUGGCGAAAGCGACUCUCUGGCGGAGACCUGACACUGAACUGCGAAAGCGUGGGUAG
rnacentral:rRNA from 1 species